UCUUCUUUAUGUUUAUUUGUUCUGUAUGUUUUAUUAGCUGUUAUGUUUCUCUCCUUUAAUUUACGGUCAGUUUUCAAUAAAUCCUCGGUAUGUUUUUAUGCUUUAUUUAUCGUAGCAAAUGUUAUGACGAGUGAAGGGAGAUUUAGAGUACAGAAUAUUCGAUUUAACCAUUGGAAUUCCUUUACCUCUCCCUGACACCUCCCUCACUAACCUGAUACCCUCCCUUCCUUACACCUCCCUUCCCUUCCUUUGCUUCUUUUCUCCUGAUAACCUCCCUUCCUUUGCUUCUCCUUUUCUCCUGGUACUCUCCUUUCCUUACAUUUACACCCUGAUACAGAUUCCCUCCCUUACACCUCCCUUCACUUCUUACACCCUUCCUUUGCUCGUCCUUUCCUCCCUUACACCUUCACCCUGAUACCUUGAUGCACUCUUGAUACCCUUCCUUACACCUACACCCUCCCUACCCUCCCUUACGCCUACACCCUCCCUUCCCUUCUCAAAAAAAAUAAUUUGCUUCUCCCUUCCUUUCUUUUCUAACUGUAAAAUCUCCCUUCUUAGCUCUCACUUCCUUGCUUUCCUCUCUCCUUUCCCCUCUCCCCCUUCCCUCCCUCACUUCCUCUUACCCUCACCCCCCCCCCAUCAUCCCCCACAACCUACUACUGAACGAACUUCCUUCUUCCUCCCUCACCCCAUCACCCCAUCUCCCCCAUCCUAUCCCCCUGACUCCCUCCUUCCCUUAUCCUCUUGUGCUUCUUACUCCCCUCUCCCUCCCUCUCCCUUUUGCUACCCGCUUCGCCAGUCACGCCUCAGUUGCAGGAACGAAGUCUUGCGGUUCGCUCUGGUCUUAGUCGUCAGCGUUUGAGACAGAGCAAGGGUUCGAUUCCCGGCAGCUGAUCCAUAUAAUAAUAUUGCCCCUUAGUUCAAUCAGGAUUCGGAUAUUCGAACUAUUCAAAGCCUCAAAAAAUCGUGUUAAACGGCCGAACCACUGUCACGUAUCCAAAGUGGUUCACUCAGUAUCAGGGGGACGUUUCGGAGCUUCAGACUUUGCGGUUCACUGUUUCGUUAUCACCGGUUCGCCUCAGUGGUGAUCCGGUUCCGCGGAGGCCGGCUGUGGUUCGGUUCCUAGGCCUCCCCGCCACCCCCACCCGCCACCAUGUCG